ensembl:lncRNA
AAUAAAUGUCCGUUUACAUAAAGUGAUAUUUAAAACAAACAAUUUAUGAAUUGAUCCAGAUCUGAUAUUUAUGUGCAACUCAUUUUGUCUAGGUUUAAUCUUAUUUUCCCCACUUUAUUUCUUUUUCUCUCAGGGUUCACCAGUUAGAAACUUGUAUAGCUGACAUCACUUCCUCCUGCUUGUGCCUUUAAUUGCACAGAAGGAAAAACUUGAUCAAAGAAACCAUGAUGAACACGUUCCUUCGCGUAUCUUUGUCUCUAAUCAUGUUUACAGUGGUGAACAGUCUUGGUAAAACUGUUCUCCAGACGCCUAAUGAUCUACUGAAGAGACAGGAUGAAUCCGCUGUGAUCACUUGUACUCACAAGAUACAGAGCUAUGACCAAAUUUUGUGGUACAAACAAAGUCAGGACUCAUUGGGCUUAAAGCUGAUGGGGUACCUUCAAUAUAAUAACAAGUAUCCAGAGCCUGAAUUUGAAAAUAAGAUCAAAUUGGAGGGAGAAGCAAAGACAAAUGGAAAUUUGACUAUCAACAACCUCACGCUGACUGACAGUGCAGUGUAUUUCUGUGCAGCAUAUUACACAGUGCUCAGAACCACCUCAGUCUGAUACAAAAACCUCUUUUAAUGGCUUGCUUUAAAAGUGUACUCCUCUCCACACCUGUGAGUUUUGAUUCAGUGCCAGUACUGAACACAGUACCAGUAGUUCUUUCUUAAAGUGUUGCUUAACAUCUUGUAGUAUGAGGUCAAUUCAAUUCUCAUCCCAACUCCUGUAUUAACUUAAAUUUGAAUCAUCACAGAAGAUUAUAAUUCAAUCACGCCCGCCUCAAUGUAACAAAAUGAGAAGCAUUAUUCUGUUAAUUCUGUCGCUACAUUGGGACCAAGGUAUUUAAACCCAUGACACAGUAUUAAAAGAAUAAACUCUUGAAAUAUUCACAGAAAUAUCUGUAUUUUUCUCUAUGUUUCACAAAUUCCAAGUGUUUUAAUAGCAGUAAAAGGGAGUUCUGCUCACAUAAAAAGGAUGCUACAUUCAUCCAGAUGUACUGGUAUCGACAGCGCCGAGGACAAACUAUGACUCUAAUCAUGUUCACAAGCACUUAGAGCAAUCCUGACUAUGGUGAUUUUGAUCCAAACUAAUUUUCAGCCAUUAAAACUGUUCCAGAGAGCGGAUCUCUGACUGUGAACAAUGUGCAGUCAGAUGAUAGUGCCGUCUAUCUCUGCUCAGUCAAACACCACACAGUGCAGUGAAUUUUGGCAAAAGUUAAACAAAAACAGCUGCCAUAAACAAUUACAGUAACAGUGAUCAACAGGGGGCAAUGUGAUUCCAUAAAUGUGCAGCCUGUUUGUCCAAAUUUGCUGUAAUAUGUAUAACUGACUCACAUAAAUGUUGCUUCAGACAUUGUCUAGUUAAGAAAAGUGAGUGGAUCUUUUGCAGCGUUUUACGCACGACACAGCGGUCAAAAAGUUAGUUAAAAAAACAAAACAAAAAAACAAAAACUGAUUCAGUGUGAAUGGCCCCUUGAGACUGCAAUUUGUUCUAAGGAAAACUGAUUUUAUUUACAAUUUUGUGUUGUCCUAUUUUUGACAGGUGUAUUAUUUUUUUUCUCAAUACAUAACUGCUAAUAUUCUACACUUUGUCAUACAUACUGUGUUGAGUAUGGGAGUAAUAGUAUGAGAACUGACUUUUAAAUAUGCACUGUAUGCCAUUCAGUCUCCUUGUAAAUGUUUAUCUUUGCCAAUUUUGUAAAUGGAAAAAAGUUUAUAUUAUCAGCAUGACAGUUAUAGUGAAAAAGUAAUAUAGAUUUCAGAAUUUCUUAGUAUUUGGUAUAUUCCAAUUUUGCUUUAAUGAC